rnacentral:rRNA from 1 species
CCUACGGGAGGCAGCAGUGGGGAAUUUUCCGCAAUGGGCGAAAGCCUGACGGAGCAAUACCGCGUGAGGGAGGAAGGCUCUUGGGUUGUAAACCUCUUUUUUCAGGGAAGAUAAUGACGGUACCUGAGGAAUAAGCAUCGGCUAACUCCGUGCCAGCAGCCGCGGUAAUACGGAGGAUGCAAGCGUUAUCCGGAAUGAUUGGGCGUAAAGCGUCCGCAGGUGGUUUUAAAAGUCUGUUGUUAAAGCGUGAGGCUUAACCUCAUAAGGGCAAUGGAAACUGUAAGACUAGAGUACGUUCGGGGCAAGGGGAAUUCCCAGUGUAGCGGUGAAAUGCGUAGAGAUUGGGAAGAACACCGGUGGCGAAAGCGCCUUGCUAGGCCGUAACUGACACUGAGGGACGAAAGCUAGGGGAGCGAAUGGGAUUAGAUACCCCAGUAGUCCUAGCCGUAAACGAUGGAUACUAGGCGUUGUCUGUAUCGACCCGGACAGUGCCGUAGCUAACGCGUUAAGUAUCCCGCCUGGGGAGUACGCACGCAAGUGUGAAACUCAAAUGAAUUGACGGCUGAGACNGCGACGACGACACGAGGAGAG